GGGAACCUCACCCGGCCCGGACACCGCGAGGAUUGACAGACUGAGAGCUCUUUCUCGAUUCGGUGGGUGGUGGUGCAUGGCCGUUCUUAGUUGGUGGAGCGAUCUGUCUGGUUAAUUCCGAUAACGAACGAGACCCCAACCUGCUAACUAGCCCUCGGGUCCUGCUUCUGUUGGGCCCGACGGAAUGAUUCGCUUCUUAGAGGGACUCGCGGCGCCUAGCCGCACGAAGGGGGGCGAUAA
rnacentral:rRNA from 1 species